rnacentral:rRNA from 1 species
ACUGGGACUGAGACACGGCCCAGACUCCUACGGGAGGCAGCAGUGGGGAAUUUUCCGCAAUGGGCGCAAGCCUGACGGAGCAAUACCGCGUGAGGGAGGAAGGCCUUUGGGUUGUAAACCUCUUUUCUUAAGGAAGAAGAUCUGACGGUACUUAAGGAAUCAGCAUCGGCUAACUCCGUGCCAGCAGCCGCGGUAAUACGGAGGAUGCAAGCGUUAUCCGGAAUUAUUGGGCGUAAAGCGUCCGCAGGCGGCAUUAUAAGUCUGCUGUCAAAGACCGCAGCUCAACUGCGAAAGGCAGUGGAAACUGUAAAGCUAGAGUACGGUAGGGGUAGAGGGAAUUCCCAGUGUAGCGGUGAAAUGCGUAGAUAUUGGGAAGAACACCAGUGGCGAAAGCGCUCUACUGGGCCGUAACUGACGCUCAGGGACGAAAGCUAGGGGAGCGAAAGGGAUUAAAUACCCCUGUAGUCCUAGCUGUAAACGAUGGAUACUAGGCGUAGCUUGUAUCGACCCGAGCUGUGCCGAAGCUAACGCGUUAAGUAUCCCGCCUGGGGGAGUACGCACGCAAGUGUGAAACUCAAAGGAAUUUGACGGGGGCCCGCACAAGCGGUGGAG